rnacentral:rRNA from 1 species
CAGCGCCACGAGUGGGAACUAUAAUUAUUGGGCCUAAAGCGUCCGUAGCCUGUUUGAUAAAUUUCUUGUGAAAUUGUUAAGCUCAACUUAACACCGUGCAGGAAAGACUGUCAAACUUGGGACUGGGAGGAGUUAGAAGUAUUUUUGGGGUAGCGGUAAAAUGUUAUAAUCCCAAAGAGACUACCUAUGGCGAAAGCAUCUAACCAGAACAGGUCCGACGGUGAGGGACGAAAGCCAGGGGAGCAAACCGGAUUAGAUACCCGCGUAGUCC